rnacentral:rRNA from 2 species
AGAAGUGCAUCGGAAACUGGGAAACUUGAGUGCAGAAGAGGACAGUGGAACUCCAUGUGUAGCGGUGAAAUGCGUAGAUAUAUGGAAGAACACCAGUGGCGAAGGCGGCUGUCUGGUCUGUAACUGACGCUGAGGCUCGAAAGUAUGGGUAGCAAACAGGAUUAGAUACCCUGGUAGUCCAUACCGUAAACGAUGAAUGCUAAGUGUUGGAGGGUUUCCGCCCUUCAGUGCUGCAGCUAACGCAUUAAGCAUUCCGCCUGGGGAGUACGGCCGCAAGGCUGAAACUCAAAGGAAUUGACGGGGGCCCGCACAAGCGGUGGAGCAUGUGGUUUAAUUCGAAGCUACGCGAAGAACCUUACCAGGUCUUGACAUACUAUGCAAAUCUAAGAGAUUAGACGUUCCCUUCGGGGACAUGGAUACAGGUGGUGCAUGGUUGUCGUCAGCUCGUGUCGUGAGAUGUUGGGUUAAGUCCCGCAACGAGCGCAACCCUUAUUAUCAGUUGCCAGCAUUAAGUUGGGCACUCUGGUGAGACUGCCGGUGACAAACCGGAGGAAGGUGGGGAUGACGUCAAAUCAUCAUGCCCCUUAUGACCUGGGCUACACACGUGCUACAAUGGAUGGUACAACGAGUUGCGAACUCGCGAGAGUAAGCUAAUCUCUUAAAGCCAUUCUCAGUUCGGAUUGUAGGCUGCAACUCGCCUACAUGAAGUCGGAAUCGCUAGUAAUCGCGGAUCAGCAUGCCGCGGUGAAUACGUUCCCGGGCCUUGUACACACCGCCCGUCACACCAUGAGAGUUUGUAACACCCAAAGUCGGUGGGGUAACCUC